rnacentral:rRNA from 1 species
GUGGGGAAUAUUGGACAAUGGGCGAAAGCCUGAUCCAGCAAUGCCGCGUGAGUGAUGAAGGCCCUAGGGUUGUAAAGCUCUUUUACCCGGGAUGAUAAUGACAGUACCGGGAGAAUAAGCUCCGGCUAACUCCGUGCCAGCAGCCGCGGUAAUACGGAGGGAGCUAGCGUUGUUCGGAAUUACUGGGCGUAAAGCGCGCGUAGGCGGUUUUUUAAGUCAGAGGUGAAAGCCCGGGGCUCAACCCCGGAAUUGCCUUUGAAACUGGAAAACUUGAAUCUUGGAGAGGUCAGUGGAAUUCCGAGUGUAGAGGUGAAAUUCGUAGAUAUUCGGAAGAACACCAGUGGCGAAGGCGACUGACUGGACAAGUAUUGACGCUGAGGUGCGAAAGCGUGGGGAGCAAACAGGAUUAGAAACCCCGGUAGUCC